rnacentral:sRNA from 1 species
AAAGCCACCCUACAGGGGGGAUAAGAACCACCGACCGGGGUUCGACAACUGGCGCAGCCAGUUGGACAGACGACGAGCUUGCGAGGAGACUGCCCGAAGGGCGAGCGCAGCGAGUCAAUCCUCCCCUCACCGCCA